CAGUCACCUCCUUGAGUUGGUCCACUCAUC
rnacentral:sRNA from 1 species